rfam:Eubacteriaceae bacterium CHKCI005 isolate CHKC5 genome assembly, contig: {contig5}
GUUGGUGCUAAUGGCGAUGAGGGUCCACCCGUUCCCAUUCCGAACACGGUAGUUAAGCUCAUCAGUGUCGAAGAUACUUGGCUGGCAACGGCCCGGGAAAAUAGAGCGGUGCCAACA